rnacentral:rRNA from 1 species
UACAGAGGCCACAAGCGUUAGGCGGAAUCACUGGGCUUAAAGCGUGUGUAGGCGGGCUGUUAAGUACCUUGUGAAAUCCCACGGCUUAACCGUGGAAUUGCUUGGUAUACUGUCGAUCUUGAGUCAUCUAGAGGUAACCGGAACAGAUGGUGGAGCGGUGAAAUGCAUAGAUAUCAUCUGGAACGCCAAUGGUGAAGACAGGUUACUGGGGAUGUACUGACGCUGAGGCACGAAAGCCAGGGGAGCAAACGGG